UUAUCUUCUUUGAUUAUUUGUUUAGUCACUUAUAAUUAUAGAGAUAUUUGUACUUUUUU
rnacentral:sRNA from 1 species